rnacentral:rRNA from 2 species
AUACAUGCAAGUCGAGCGAAUCGAUGGGAGCUUGCUCCCUGAGAUUAGCGGCGGACGGGUGAGUAACACGUGGGCAACCUGCCUAUAAGACUGGGAUAACUUCGGGAAACCGGAGCUAAUACCGGAUACGUUCUUUUCUCGCAUGAGAGAAGAUGGAAAGACGGUUUACGCUGUCACUUAUAGAUGGGCCCGCGGCGCAUUAGCUAGUUGGUGAGGUAAUGGCUCACCAAGGCGACGAUGCGUAGCCGACCUGAGAGGGUGAUCGGCCACACUGGGACUGAGACACGGCCCAGACUCCUACGGGAGGCAGCAGUAGGGAAUCUUCCGCAAUGGACGAAAGUCUGACGGAGCAACGCCGCGUGAACGAAGAAGGCCUUCGGGUCGUAAAGUUCUGUUGUUAGGGAAGAACAAGUACCAGAGUAACUGCUGGUACCUUGACGGUACCUAACCAGAAAGCCACGGCUAACUACGUGCCAGCAGCCGCGGUAAUACGUAGGUGGCAAGCGUUGUCCGGAAUUAUUGGGCGUAAAGCGCGCGCAGGUGGUUCCUUAAGUCUGAUGUGAAAGCCCACGGCUCAACCGUGGAGGGUCAUUGGAAACUGGGGAACUUGAGUGCAGAAGAGGAAAGUGGAAUUCCAAGUGUAGCGGUGAAAUGCGUAGAGAUUUGGAGGAACACCAGUGGCGAAGGCGACUUUCUGGUCUGUAACUGACACUGAGGCGCGAAAGCGUGGGGAGCAAACAGGAUUAGAU